rnacentral:lncRNA from 1 species
UACCAGCUGUAGGUGGUAGAGGUGAGAUUAUUUGGGGUGGCAUUGUGGUCGGCAGAGGCGGGGGGAUUAUAUGGGGUGGUGUUGAAGUUGGCGGUGGUGGUGGGCUAGGCUCUGGUGAUGGAGGAUACUCAGGUGGUGGUGGUGGUGGUUGAAAUGCGUCUGGAGGAUACUCAGGUGGUGGUGGAGGUUGAAAUGCGUCUGGAUGCGGGAACGGAGGUGGUGGUGGUGGUGACUCUGAUUGAGGCUGAGAAGUAUGUAUGUCAUCCUCUAGCUUCUGCCUCUUGUUACCAGAAGAGUGUUCAUCUAUUUUCACUGCAGUAUUGCCCCCGUUGGCUCGU